GCACGAGAAAGGGAGCAAUCCCCGGUACAGUGGCGCACGGGUGAGUAACACGUGGGUAAUCUUCCCUCGAGCGGGGGAUAACCUUCCGAAAGGAGGGCUAAUACCGCAUAAGACCACGGCCGAUACGUCGGCUGAGGUAAAAGCUGGCCUCUACACGUAAGCUAGCACUUGAGGAUGAGCCCGCGGCCCAUCAGCUAGUUGGUGGUGUAAAAGACCACCAAGGCGAAGACGGGUAGCUGGUCUGAGAGGAUGAUCAGCCACACUGGAACUGAGACACGGUCCAGACUCCUACGGGAGGCAGCAGUGGGGAAUCUUGCGCAAUGGGCGAAAGCCUGACGCAGCGACGCCGCGUGGGUGAUGAAGGCCUUCGGGUUGUAAAGCCCUGUGGGGAGGGACGAAUAAGUAGUGGCCAAUAUCCACGAUGAUGACGGUACCUCCUUAGCAAGCACCGGCUAACUAUGUG
rnacentral:rRNA from 1 species